rnacentral:misc_RNA from 1 species
AUAACAAGGUUUCCGUAGGUGAACCUGCGGAAGGAUUUAACACGUAUCCAACGUUAAACCCCCUGUGAAUUUUAAGUCCUGCUCCGGAAUCUUUUCAAACAGCAAUCUCAGUAAAUCAUUGUUGAACAGUUUUGAUUUGGGACCUCUGUUUGGAGAGUGAACGUUGAGACGGUUGAGAUAGGGGCGUGGCUUCCCGAAUCAAUCAUCAAAUGAAAGCGUUGAUGAUUGUGUAAGGAUAACGCCUCGGACAUGCCUCAAGGGCGCAUGUAGCGAAAGCCGCAGGUGCAAAAAACGAACAACAGUUCUUGGUUCUC